CACGUAGGGUGCGAGCGUUGUCCGGAAUUAUUGGGCGUAAAGAGCUCGUAGGCGGCGUGUCGCGUCGGCCGUGAAAACCUGCAGCUUAACUGUGGGCUUGCGGUCGAUACGGGCAUCACUGGAGUUCGGCAGGGGAGACUGGAAUUCCUGGUGUAGCGGUGAAAUGCGCAGAUAUCAGGAGGAACACCGGUGGCGAAGGCGGGUCUCUGGGCCGAUACUGACGCUGAGACGCGAAAGCGUGGGGAGCGAACAGG
rnacentral:rRNA from 1 species